CAGCUCCACCCCACGAUCACUACUGCACAGACUCUGACUGCAAAUUACGUCGUUACCACAAGAUGGCAGCGUUUGUGUCUGAGCUAUUUGAAGAAUUAUCGUCAUCUUCACUGGUCGACGUUGUGAUGAAGUCUCAACCCUCAAACAACCGUGAAAAGUGGGUCAGAAAGUGAGGACCAGCCAAAAUGUUCUCACUCCAUGGGUUCUAGACUCAAAAUGGUCCUCACAAAGAUAUCUGUGUAGGGACAAACUGAGCGUGGCCACCAGAGGGCAGCAGAGACAACACAGUCCUCCACUGAAUCUCCUGCGGUGUUUCCUGUGAGUAUGCGAGCUGCCAGCAGAUGGAGCCAGAGACCUGGACACGUGGGGUCACUCCACAAACACUGAACUCAAAUGAGACAUGUGACGUAACAACUCUGAAAACCCAAGAAGAAGAAAAGUCUUCAAAUGAUUUCAAUGAUUUCAUAUGAAAUAUGAGAAUAAUAAUGUUGUUGUUCAUUGUCAUUAUUAUAGACGUUAACAGAUACAUUAUAGUGUCAUUUAACAGAUGUUAAUAAUCUACUAAUAAAUGCUAAAGAUCCUAUAAUCAAAUCAUUAAAGGGAAGAAAUGAGCAUCGUAUAGUGGAAUUAUCAACUUUAGUUAUUGUUAGUUAUAUACGUUUAAACAUAUCAAUUGAAUACCUGUAACAUUAUUAUAUCUGUGUUUUUCUGCAGUCCCAGUCGGAUCAAUAAACCAGUUUGUUGUUGUGGUGCAGCAGUGAGGGAUGAUGGGAGUUGUAGUCUUCUCCUGGUCAGGAUUCCUUCGGUGUUAAAAUCGUUUCACGACUAAAAUCCUUCAUCUGCUUCAAACAUACAGUUAAAAUUCACCAAGUUCUAAAACGUGUUUCCUAAAAAUGUGACUUCAAAUAAAAAGUCACUUUUGAUUCUUCAA